rnacentral:rRNA from 1 species
GGCGGACGGGUGAGUAACGCGUAAGAACUUGCCCUUUAGACUGGGAUAACAGAGGGAAACUUCUGAUAAUACUGGAUAAGUUAGUAUAUCGCAUGAUAUGCAAAUGAAAGCUACGGCACUAAAGGAGAGCUUUGCGUCCUAUUAGCUAGUUGGUAAGGUAAGAGCUUACCAAGGCGAUGAUAGGUAGCCGGCCUGAGAGGGUGGACGGCCACAAGGGGACUGAGAUACGGCCCUUACUCCUACGGGAGGCAGCAGGG